rnacentral:snoRNA from 1 species
AAGACUAUACUUUCAGGGAUCAUUUCUAUAGUUUUCAACUUGAGAAAUGUGUUUCUAAAGUGUGUGGUCUCGCUAACCACGAUGAUGAGUUGGUGAUACUUCUUCUUGAGCGCGAAGCGGGUGGAGAGACUUGAUUCAUUUCAUAUGCUCUUUACUUUUGAUGACCGUUCACUGUUUUCUCGAAAACAGCGAUGGGAGAAGUAUGAUCAGAGUGGU